GUGGGGAAUUUUGCGCAAUGGGCGAAAGCCUGACGCAGCGACGCCGCGUGGGUGAAGAAGGCCCUUGGGUCGUAAAGCCCUUUUCUGAGGGAAGAUGAUGACGGUACCUCAGGAAUAAGCACCGGCUAACUCCGUGCCAGCAGCCGCGGUAAUACGGAGGGUGCAAGCGUUGUUCGGAUUUACUGGGCGUAAAGGGCGUGUAGGCGGAUGCGCAAGCUGGGGGUGAAAGACCAGGGCUCAACCCUGGAGUAUCUCUCAGAACUGCGCGUCUAGAGAAAGUCAGAGGCAGGUGGAAUUCCAGGUGUAGAGGUGAAAUUCGUAGAGAUCUGGAGGAACAUCGGCGGCGAAGGCGGCCUGCUGGGGCUUUUCUGACGCUGAGGCGCGAAAGCGUGGGGAGCAAACAGG
rnacentral:rRNA from 1 species